GUCAUCUCACAAGACCCUCGGGUGCCGUGAAUGUCAAUCAAGCAAGCUACGGAAUUUGCCGCCAAUGUUUUUCUUGUAAAGUGUAUGGAAGCUGGAUGAAUUAGAUGCCAAAAACCAACCACUUUCAUGUGGUAUUGUACAGAAAGGACAACUUUUUUUCCUCCUCCAUUUGAAAAUGUGGGCGUUAUCAUCAUUACUGUCUGAUUCCAAUCAAUGCAAGUCAUCAGAAUCAGGUAAUACACCAACUUAUAUUCUUGUCUUGGUGGAAGAAAGACAUCUAUAUGUGUUACACAUGCUUGUAUUAUCAUUAAACACAUUUAACUUGUUUACUAAAAAGGCUUUUUCAUAAAUAAAUAAAUAUAAAUGAUCUAUAUAAAUGAGGUAGAUCCCCUCGAGUUGGUCAAUUGAAAAGUAGCUCGCCUGCAGAAAAAGUGUGGGCACCCCUGGUCUAGAUAACCCGGAGCGCCAUCAAGAACGGCGCCAAAGGAUUCCGCAGGAAAUGAAGCGCACCUCACAUCUACUCACGUUCCCCGCAUGGAGUCUAGUCCUACCAUACAGGAGGCGAAGCACAGCGUUCAGAGAGCACACCACGGAAAUGUAAAGGAGUGUAUUAUGGGUAAUAGUCGUAUAGCGCUUUUCUACCUUCAAGGCACUCCAAAGUGCUUUGACACUAUUUCCACAUUCACCCACUGAUAGCGGAAGCCCUAACCACCAACCAUCAGGAGCAAGGGCGCAGUCUCUUGCCCAAGGCGAGGUUGGUAGAAGGUGGGGAUUGAACCAGGAACCACUCUCCCGACCCCCGCCACGCCGUCCCCCGUCUUCAUUAAUGUUAUUAUUUUUGUUACAGAAGUGACGAGGAGCCACACUGAGAAGAAAACGUAGCAUAAAACUACAUAAAUACAGACGGUCCCUUAUUUUACAUCAGGGUGUCCAAACUUUUUCCACCGAGGGCCUCACACUGAAAAAUCAAAGCAGGCGGGGGCCCAUUUUCAUAUUUUUUAUUUUAAAAAACAAUGCAAUAAGUGUAUAAAAAAUAUACAUUUAGGCCUCCACUCAGUUAUGAUCCUAAAGGGUUUUGGUCCAAAAAAAUAUAAAAAAUGUGUCAUUAUUUAGUAUUGCUAUGUUCUUUAUUAUUCAAGUUUUUAAAUCUCUAGAACCGGGGUAGGGAACCUAUGGCUCUAGAACCAGAUGUGGCUCUUUUGAUGACUGCAUCUGGCUCUCGGAUAAAUCUGAACUGACGUUGUUUAACACGAUAAAUAAUGAAUAAUUCCACUUGUAAUCACAGUGUUAAAAAUAACGUUCAAAAUAUGAAACAUUCUCAUGCAUUUUUAAUCCAUCCAUCCGUUUUUCUACCGCACCUGUUCAAGAAGUUGCGUUAACGGUAAGAAGUUAUUUAUUUAUAAUUGGUUAGUGUGGGGUUUUCCCUCCUGGGGGUUCUUCAGACCCCCAAGCACCGACAUGAGAGCCUGUUUCAGGGUUACAAUAUUGUUUUAUUAAUAGUAUUUCCAGCCCCAACCCAGUCUCUCCUGGUUUCUGCUCAUAACAGAGCGAGAGGUGAUUAGAUAACAAGGCCCAGGUGGGCCAUCUACGCACCUGUCGCUGCAGGCCCGCAGUCCACGCCCCCCCUCCACAGUUAGCUUCAGAAUAACAAUGUAACCUAUUAUACUCUAGAAAUGUUGGUCUUAAUUAAAAAUACACGCGUUUAGUUGUGUUGAGUGUUAAAAAAAAUAUUAUAUGGCUCUUAGGGAAAUAUAUUUUAAAAUAUUUGGCUUUUCGGCUCUCUCAGCCAAAAAGGUUCCCGACCCCUGCUCUAGAUCAACAUUAGGGGGGGAAAAAAAAAUGGAAAAACCACAAAAUAUGCAAUAUUUUCACCCAAUAACCUUUUUAGGUGGAAUAUUUGAGAUGAUAUAAUAAUUGGAGCCUUCAUUUUGGAUUUUGAUUCAUUAUUAUUUUUUGAGCAGUGACACUUAAAAACAAACCACCCCAAAAUAAUUGGGGAUCCAAAAGUGCUGAAAAAAUAAAUUAUACAUUUUUUCUACUGUUUACUUUUAACAUAAUUGCGGCGGUAUAGCUCGGUUGGUAGAGUGGCCGUGCCAGCAACUUGAGGGUUGCAGGUUCGAUUCCCGCUUCCGCCCUCUUAGUCACUGCCGUUGUGUCCUUGGGCAAGACACUUUACCCACCUGCUCCCAGUGCCACCCACACUGGUUUAAAUGUAACUUAGAUAUUGGGUUUCACUAUGUAAAGCGCUUUGAGUCACUUGAGAAAAGCGCUAUAUAAAUAUAAUUCACUUCACAAUAAUCACGAGAUUAAUUUCAGAUACAUCCGUCAAUUUUAGGUUUUAUUCUUGUUUACGUUUUUUGUUUGUAUGUUUUAGGCCAUGGGUGUCAAACUCUGGCCCGUGGGCCAAAUUUGGCCCGCCGUGUAAUUUAAUUUGGCCCUUGAGGCAAUAAUAAAUUAACAUAAGAGCUGGCCCGCCGCUGUAACGCCACAUUCACCACUAAUACUCAUACUCGUCAACCCUCCCAAUUUUCCCGGGAGACUCCCGAAGUUCAGUGCCCCUCCCGAUUUCCACCCGGACAAUAAUAUUGGGGGCGGGCAGUAAAAGCACUGCUUUUGGCGUUCUCUACAUGUCGCCACGUCCGCUUUUCCUCCAUAAAAAUAGCGUGCCGGCCCACUCACAUAAUAUAUGUGGCUCAUACACACACACAAGUGUAUGCAAGGUAUACUUGGUCAACAGCCAUACAGGUCACACUGAGGGUGGCCGUAUAAAUAACUUUAACACUCUUUCAAAUAUGCGCCAUACUGUGAACCAACAGCAAACAAGAAUGACAAACACAUUUCGGGAGAACAUCCGCACCGUAACACAACAUAAACACAACCGGACAAAUACCCAGAACCCUUUGCAUCACUAACUCUUCCGGGACGCUACACUAUACACCCCCGGGCCCCAACUCAAACCCGCCGCUGAAAGAAGGCAUUAAAUUUGUGUUUUUAUCUUAUUUGAUAUGCCAUUGAUAUUUUUUAAUUAUUAUUAUUUGAAACUUAUAUAACUAUAAAGUUAUAUAAGCCUUGCUUGGUCAAUAUUCAAUGCAAAACUUGUUUGGGUCCCUAUUAAAGGCUUAAUUUGUUAAUUUGUUCAGUUUUAAAUUUUGGCCCACUCUGUAUUUGAGUUUGACAGCCCUGCUCUAGAUCAACAUUAGGGGAAAAAAAAUGGAAAAAACACAAAAUAUGCAAUAUUUCCACCCAAUGACUUUUUUAGGUGGAAUAUUUGAGAUUAUAUAAUAAUUGGAGCCUUCAUUUUGGAUUUUGACUCAUUAUUAUUUUUUGAGCAAUGACACUUAAAAACAAAUCACCCGAAAAUAAUUGGGGAUCCAAAAGUGUCCUACUCAUUAAAAUAAAUACUUUUAACACAAUAAUCUCGAGAUUAACUUCAGAUAUAUCCGUCAAUUGUAAGUUUUAUUGUUGUUUACGUUUUUUGUUCAUAUGUUUUAGGCCCUUCUUUUAAAAAAAAAACACAGCUUAGUUUUUUAUAUGGCAAAACACAAAAUAUACAACAUUUUCCCGAAAAAAUAUCUCAAAGUGGAAUAUUUAAUGUGACGUAAUUGGAGCCUUGAAUAGGUCAAUAAUUCAAAAUGACAUUUAUUUUGAUUCAUUAUUAUUUUUAAUAGAAAGAAAUAGCCUGCAUGGCAGCUUUGUGUUCUUGUUAGAUUUCACCUGUUUGCUCUUUUAUACCACUUUUUAUGUUUUUAAUUUUUUUCAAUUGUAUUCUUAAAAUGUGCCUUGGGGCCGUUAAAAAAUAACCCGAGGGCCGCAAAUGGCCCCCGGGAUUUUGGUCAACAGCCAUACAGGUCACACUGAGGGUGGCCAUAUAGACAACUUUAACACUGUUACAAAUAUGCGCCACACUGUGAACCCACACCAAACAAGAAUGACAAACACAUUUCGGGAGAACAUCCACACCGUAACACAACAUAAACACAACACAACCCCUUGCAGCACUAACUCUUCCGGGACACCCCUGUUAUACAUGAAUAAAAAUUGGUUUUUAUGCAGGGAAAUAAAGAUGGAUUUUUCUUUUAGAAAUAUCCUAUAAUAUCGGACUGCCGAUAAAUGCUUUAAAAUGUAAUAUCGGAAAUUAUCGGUAUCGGUUUCAAAAAGUAAAAUUUAGGACUUUUUAAAACGCCGCUGUGAGCGCCAAUAAACCUCAAAGGCACUGCCUUUGCGGGCCGGCCCAGUCUUGUAACAACUACGGCUUUUCACACACGCAAAUGAAUGAAAUGCAUACUUGGUCAACAGCCAUACAGGUCACACUGCGGGUGGCCGUAUAAACAAGGUUAAUACUGUUACAAAUAUGGCGCCACACUGUGAACCCACACCAAACAAGAAUGACAAACACAUUUUGGGAGAACAUCCGCACUGUAACACAACAGAACACGCGUUUCUCCUCAUUGAGCCAAAUUUGAAUCCUGUCUCUGUUUAAUUCCUUGCUUCUUGUCUGUUUAACAGCAGUCUUAAGUGUUUGAACCUGACCGCGGUCUUUCUGUGUGGAGUUUGCAUGUUCUCCCCGUGACUGCUUUGAAAAUAGUACUUUUUUGUAACAGUACCACUUUUUGUCAGGUUCAAACACCGAACUGUGUGUCACACAAGACAAGAAGAAGGACUCAAGCAGAGACGGGAGUUCAAUUUCGCUCAUGAGGAGAAACGUCUGGGGCUCUACAGUCAGUUACAGUUUCACCCUAAGCUCUAAGGUACAGUCCCACGUGCUCCUCUAUUUAUGCGAGUAUGCGAGACAACUUGCAAUGGAGUUGAGUUGAGUUUGAGUUUAUUUCAAACAUGCAAACAUACAACAUGAUACAUCACAAUUUCCAGUUUCAACAUGUUUGAAAUGAAGUAGAAGCACAGUUUAUUUAAUCCUACCCCUUUUCUUUUACAUAGCAGUUGCUAAAACCUUUGUUCACUUCCUGUUCUCAAUUUAGUAAUCACAAUUAAAAAAAAGAAAUAAAUAAUAAUUGGUGACGUAAGUUACAUUCAUUUUUGAUUGAUUGAUACUUUUAUUAGUAGAUUGCACAGUACAGUACAUAUUCCGUACAAUUGACCACUAAAUGGUAACACCCGAAUAAGUUUUUCAACUUUUUUAAGUCGGGGUCCACGUUAAUCAAUUCUUAUUUAUCUCAUAUGAUGAGAUAAGUAAGAAUAUUUUGAGAAUGAAUGAAUACAAGAUUAGAAGUUGUGUGCCUUUGCACGGAUAGAAAAGUACAACUUCAGCACAAUUGAUAAUAACUAUAGCCACGGCCUUAAAGCAUGAGAGUUGUGUGAUAACUUAUACAUAAUUAAUCCAUAAUUUAUUUUCAAAAAUGACAAGUACUGUAUAUCCUCAAAGUUUGAUUGAUUGAAACUUUUAUUACUAGAUUUCACAGUACAGUACAUAUUCCGUACAAUUGACCACUAAAUGAUAACACCCCAAUAAGUUUUUCAACUUGUUUAAGUCGGGGUCCACGUUAAUCAAUUCAUACUUAUCUCAUAUGAUGAGAUAAGUAUGAAUAUUUUGAGAAUGAAUGAAUACAAGAUUAGAAGUUGUGUGCCUUUGCACGGAUAGAAAAGUACAACUUCAGCACGAUUGAUAAUAACUAUAGCCACGGCCUUUAAGCAUGAGAGUUGUGUGAUAACUUAUACAUAAUUAAUUAAUAAUUUCCCUUCAAAAAUGACACGUAUAUCCUCAAAGUUUGAUUGAUUGAAACUUUUAUUAGUAGAUUGCACAGUACAGUACAUAUUCCGUACAAUUGACCACUAAAUGGUAACACCCGAAAUAAGUUUUUCGACUUACAACUCAUGGUAAAAAGUCCUGCCUUUUUUCUGUAAUAUUUCCUUCUAACGUCUUGUAAAUGUGUCCUUGUUUUUUAGCCAGCGGUCUCAUUAUUUACUUUUCUUGUCAGUGUGGUUCUAAUUGUCCUCCAUUGAGAAGCUCGACUAAACCCGGCGGUUGUUAGAAUUAUGCCGACAAACUUUCCAAGCAGUGAAAGUUCAGAUUCCUUGACGAAAAUCAAGUUUGUCAUAAGACGCCGUUGUGUUCAUUUCUUCUUGCAGCUCUACACGGAUAUAAAAAGAAAGUCCAUAUUGUCAUGCCAAGGCCAGCCACCUCUUACAGGGGAAAAGUACACAAAGCCUUUGAAAGCAGAGUUAGUCUGCACUUUACUGACGCAGGUCCGUGGUUUUAGGUCCGUGUUCGACAAUCAAGGAUUAAACACAAGCACAUUCCUACGCUCUGCCUGCCUGUGAGAAUGAUCUCGGUUGUCUACUGUGUGCUCCCCAAGUCUUUAGUGGGCUCGGAACAAAGCCAGACUUGCAAUGACCUCCAUUAGCCACCAAGAAAUGGAACGGCAUGGGCGAGUCUCAGUGGAAUCUGCCGAGACCGAAGAACGGGACACUUCUACAAACAUAGAAAGUUAGAUUGGGAAUUCAAAUAUGUUUAGAGAGAAUUGUAUGGCCUUGUCUGCUUUUGAUCGUGGGAAUGGUACGCAGCAUACUUGCCAACCCUCCCGAUUUUCCCGGGAGACUUCUGAAUGGGGAGUGCUCAGAGAGUUUGGGGUAACGGACUGUCUGAUUGUGGCUCCAUGUAUGAUCAGUGUCAGAACUUGGUCCGCAUCGCCGGCAGUAAGUUGAACCUGUUUCCAGUGAGGGUUGGACUCCGCCAAGGCUGUCCUUUGUCACCCAUUCUGUUUAUAACUUUUAUGGACAGAAUUUCUAGGCGAAGUCAAGGCGUUGAGGGGUUCCGGUUUGGUGACCGCAGGAUUAGGUCUCUGCUGUUUGCAGAUGAUGUGGUCCUGACGGCUUAAUCUGGCCAAGAUCUUCAGCUCUCACUGGAUCGGUUUGCAGCCGAGUGCGAAGCGACUGGGAUUAGAAUCAACAACUCCAAGUCCAUGGUUAUCGCCUGGAAAAGGGUGGAGUGCUAUCUCCGGGUUGGGGAGGAGACCCUGCCCCAAGUGGAGGAGUUCAAGUACCUCGGAGUCUUGUUCACGAGUGAGGGAAGAGUGGAUCGUGAGAUCGACAGGCGGAUCGGUGCGGCGUCUUCAGUAAUGAGGACGCUGUAUCUACCAGUUGGGGUGAAGAGGGAGCUGAGCCGGGAGGCAAAGAUCUCAAUUUACCGGUCGAUCUAAGUUCCAAUCCUCACCUAUGGUCAUGAGCUUUGGGUUAUGACCGAAAGGACAAGAUCACGGGUACAAGCGGCCCAAAUGAGUUUCCAGGUCUCUCCCUUAGAGAUAGGGUGAGAAGCUCUGCCAUCCGGGAGGAACUCAAAGUAAAGCCGCUGCUCCUCCACAUGGAGAGGAGCCAGAUGAGUUGGUUUGGGCAUCUCGUCAGGAUGCCACCCGAACGCCUCCCGAGGGAUGUGUUUCAGGCAUGUCCGACCAGUAGGAGGCCACGGGGAAGACCCAGGACACGUUGGGAAGUCUAUGUCUCCCGGCUGGCCUGGGAACGCCUCGGGGUCUCCCGGGAGGACCUGGACGAAGUGGCUGGGGAGAGGGAAGUCUGGGCUUCCCUGCUUAGGCUGCUGCCCCCGCGACCCGACCUCGGAUAAGCGGAAGAAGAUGAAUGGAUAGAUGGACUCCUGAAUUUCAGUGCCCCUGAAAAAUCUCCCGGGGCAACCGUUCUCCCAAAUUUCUCCCGAUUUCCACCCGUACAUCAAUAUUGAGGGUGGGGGGGGGUGUCCUCUACAAACUGUCGUCACGUCCGCUUUUCCUUCAUACAAACAGCGGGCUGAUGUAGAUGCAUAAUGUAUGCGGUUUCUACACACACAAGUGAAUCCUGUAUACCUGGUCAACAGCCAUACAGGUCACACUGAGGGUGGCCGCAUAAACAACUUAAACACUGUUACAAAUAUGCGCCACACUGUGAACCCACACCAAACAAGAAUGACAAACACAAUUCGAGAGAAUAUCUGCACUGUAACACAACAUAAACAAAACAGAACAAAUACCCAGAACCCCUUACAGUACUAACUCUUACGAGACGCUACAAUAUACAAACCGCACCCCCCAACCCCACCCACCUCAACACCGCCCCGCCAUCUCAAACAACUCCCCCUUCCCCAGAUCUCUCGAAUUCGGAGGUCUCAAGGUUGGCAAGUAUGGUACGCAGGCCAAGCUAGACUGGUGUGUCACGUUUCUUUUGUGCGUUCAAAGAGGAAUAGAAUCGUGAAUAUAGGCGGUUUCAAAUUAUUUCAAAACUAAUGGCAUCAAAAACGUAGUUUGCAUGUCUAUAUUUACCUGCAAAAUACCAAAUGGACUAAAUGUAGUGUUCAGAAUGUUCAAGGAGAAGAGGAUUCAAGGCUUUUCUAGCAUUAACCUUAUACAGAACACAGUCCUCUUUAAAUGGACUUUCAUGUUUUAUGUUCUAUUGAUGCCUAUAUUAUUUUCUUAUGAAUAAAUACUAAUGAAACUGCA